UACAGAGGUGCCAAGCGUUAGGCGGAAUCACUGGGCUUAAAGCGCGUGUAGGUGGGUCGUUAAGUGUCCGCGUGAAAUCCCACGGCUCAACCGUGGAACUGCCGGGCAUACUGGCGAUCUUGAGGCAUUCAGGGGCGAGCGGAACAAGUGGUGGAGCGGUGAAAUGCGUAGAUAUUGGAAGGAACGCCGGAGGCGAAAGCGGCGCACUGGAUCUCUACUGACGCUGAGGCGCGAAAGCCAGGGGAGCAAAGCGGG
rnacentral:rRNA from 1 species